CAGGAAGCCUCCAGCAUGCUUGGGACCGCUGUGACCCUGUGCAUUCCCACAGUGCUUGCCAGAACAGUUUUGAAACGGUUUGAGGCCUUGCCCUGCUCCAUCCAGUGUAAGGUUAUAGAACUUUCAGACAAUU